rnacentral:tRNA from 1 species
ACCUGGCUGGCUUAGUGGGUGGAGCAUGAGACUCUUGAUCUAAGGGUCAUGAGUUCAAGCCCCAUGUUGGGCA